AGCAGCCGCGGUAAUUCCAGCUCCAAUAGCGUAUAUUAAAGUUGUUGCAGUUAAAAAGCUCGUAGUUGAAUUUCGGGAUUGACGUGACGGUCGUGCCUUAAGGGGUAUGAACUGUUACAGUCAAUUUCUCACCUUCUGGAGAAAUAUGAUGUCCUUAAUUGGGUGUCAUAUGGAACCAGGACUUUUACCUUGAAAAAUUAGAGUGUUUAAAGCAAGCUUAUUGCUCGAAUACAUUAGCAUGGAAUAAUAAAAUAGGACGGCAUGAUUCUAUUUUGUUGGUUUCUAGGAUCACCGUAAUGAUUAAUAGGGAUAGUUGGGGGCAUUAGUAUUCAAUUGUCAGAGGUGAAAUUCUUGGAUUUAUUGAAGACUAACUACUGCGAAAGCAUUUGCCAAGGAUGUUUUCAUUAAUCAAGAACGAAAGUUAGGGGAUCGAAGACGAUCAGAUACCGU
rnacentral:rRNA from 1 species